AGCGAACGCUGGCGGCAGGCCUAACACACGCAAGUCGAACGAAGUCUUCGGACUUAGUGGCGGACGGGUGAGUAACACGUGGGAACGUGCCUUUAGGUUCGGAAUAACUUAGGGAAACUUGUGCUAAUACCGAAUGUGCCCUUCGGGGGAAAGAUUUAUCGCCUUUAGAGCGGCCCGCGUCUGAUUAGCUAGUUGGUGAGGUAAAGGCUCACCAAGGCGACGAUCAGUAGCUGGUCUGAGAGGAUGAUCAGCCACAUUGGGACUGAGACACGGCCCAAACUCCUACGGGAGGCAGCAGUGGGGAAUCUUGCGCAAUGGGCGAAAGCCUGACGCAGCCAUGCCGCGUGAAUGAUGAAGGUCUUAGGAUUGUAAAAUUCUUUCACCGGGGACGAUAAUGACGGUACCCGGAGAAGAAGCCCCGGCUAACUUCGUGCCAGCCGCCGCGGUAA
rnacentral:rRNA from 1 species